rnacentral:lncRNA from 1 species
UUUUUCACAAUCGACGCAUUGCCGUGGGAUGCGGCCAUGGGGCAGAAGACUAGCUUUCAGCAGCUCAGAGAGUAAAGGAUGAAAUUACAGGUAUCUAGCCUCUCCUGGGACCUUGAAUUACUGUUCACAGCCCGGCAUUUGAUUCAGAUUUCCAGGCUGAGAAGAAUGGGUUCAUUAAGUCCCAGAAAUCCCAAGCAGAAGGAGUUACAUGGUGGAAACCUCCCAUCGCCGUUCCUGUCCAUCCAUUUCUCCCGUCUGCUGUCAUGAGGCUUAUCCAUGCUGAAAUCCGCCUCUCCAUCACUUUCCCCACUUUAGAGUAUACAGCGCUGUGGAGCUGGUGGGAGUUUCCUCAGCUUCCUGACUGGCUCACCAAUUGUGGGGCUGCACCCCGCAGGCCUGCAAGCCUUGUGAUUGCCCAGCCUCAGGACUGAAAUGAGAGCCCGGGGACAGUGACAGCGACACCAGUGGCUUAACAGAUGGGGGAUCUUACAUGUCUGAAGCAAAGAGUCCUGGAUCGCAUCUCCACCACGCACGGCCAACCGCAGACAGAACGCGACAGCCAACUUCCCUGCUUAAGAAAGCAGGAGACUCCCAUUUAUGAGGGGAAUUGACCUCAGGCUGGCUCAUCAGUUACCAGGGAAACCGGUCACGCAGGCAGUUCCUGAUUAAGCCCUAUAAUUAAGAGGGUUGGCUGGCGAUGCGAGGGAAGCAGGGCCUGCGAGCAGGGAUGGGCAGAGAGCAAGAGCACAGCCACCUGGAGUGGCCUGACCAUAUACCUGGCAGCCACUAAUCUCCUUUCUCUGUGGAUCCGCCUACUCUCAACACUGCAUAUAAAUGGAACUAUGCAUUAGGUGGCCUUUUGUGUCUGGCCUCUUUCACUUAGCACAAUGUUUAAAUGCAUGUCUCAUGUAUCCAACCAUAUUCAAAUAAAGUGGGUUCUGG